GAUGAAGAACGCAGUGAAAUGCGAUACUUGGUGUGAAUUGCAGAAUCCCGUGAACCAUCGAGUCUUUGAACGCAAGUUGCGCCCGAAGCCAUUAGGCCGAGGGCACGCCUGCCUGGGCGUCACACGUCGUUGCCCCCCCAUCUACUCCUUCGGGAUUGCGGGGGGCGGAUGAUGGCCUCCCGUGCGCCUCGUCGCGCGGUUGGCAUAAAUGCCAAGUCCUCGGCGACGCACGCCACGACAAUCGGUGGUUGCGAAACCUCGGUUGCCCGUCGUGUGCGGUCGUCGCGCAUCGAGGGCUCGAAAAAAUUGCCGGGCUCCGGCUCGGCUUUCAACGCGACCCCAGGUCAGGCGGGGUUACCCGUUGAAUUUAAGCAUAUCAAUAAGCGGAGGA
rnacentral:misc_RNA from 1 species